AGCUUCUGCAAAUCAUUUGGAGGGCGCCUUCCAUUUCAAUUUUGGAGACAGACUUAUUUUUGAGUUUGAUUCUCAGGUUUGCGAUGAUCCAGACACAUACUGCCCCGAUGGCCUUGCAGAAGAUAGCAUGCGCAUCUAUGAAAAUGGGAAAUCUUGCCCAAAAUGUUUCAGAACAGGUUACGAUAACUGUACAAGCAAAGGAGAAGUGCUUUGUAUGGGUGAUUUAGUGAACUGUAUUGAAGUGAAUGGAGAAAUAAGCAGUAUGCGAUCUGAUGCAAAAAUCCCUUUUGCUGGAAAAGGUUGUGUCAGCCGAUCGGUUUGUGACCUUGAAGGGAAGUCAGUCCAGCGUGGGACUUACAUAUUUACAUUUAAAAAGCUUCAGUGUUCUAAAGCCAACGUGGCUCUUCCAUUGUUGUAAUGCCUGGCUUUCACUCUGGAGAAGAAGGACCUUGGGCCUCAGGUGUCUUUCUUCCUUCCAUGCAUCCUUGGGAUCUUUCCUGUGAAAAUUCUCUCCAAAUUAAAUCAAAGGUAGCUGGCAAAGGUCUUAAGAAGGAUCAGGUUGGGGUCAGUCUCCCUCCCUUUAAGCACUGAUGAUGUUACCUAGUUUGGUAUCGAAACGUCUACAAGAAAACCACCAAGCUCACAGAACAUCGAGGAGCCCACAACUAAAUUUAUGCUGCAAAAAUUCUAUACCUCUCCGUUGCCACUCUUAAUGUCCUUCUCAAAGUUGCCAUCUAUCUAUAUUUUUUAACAGGAGAAAUUAUGGGCUAAAUUGGAAUUAUUAACUGCCGUCCAUGUAAGUUUUCAUCCCCUUAUUAUGGAAUUACAAUGAAUGUGGUAUAAAUGUCCUGCCCCAGCAAAUUUUGUGCCCCAUCUCCUGACAUGAGGUCGAGAAUCCCACCCAAAGGCUGCAAUUGCAAUUGUUGUCGAAAUAGACUAAUAUCCUUUGGUCAGUUUGAGACCACUGUUUGCAGGCAUUUUCUUUCUCUGGAAAAACAGCUUCAGCGUUUUUCUACCUUUCCGAAAUUGUAAUUCUCAUUGAUU